AGCGAACGCUGGCGGCAGGCCUAACACAUGCAAGUCGAACGAACUCUUCGGAGUUAGUGGCGGACGGGUGAGUAACACGUGGGAACGUGCCUUUUGGUUCGGAAUAACUCAGGGAAACUUGUGCUAAUACCGAAUGUGCUCUUCGGGGGAAAGAUUUAUCGCCAUUAGAGCGGCCCGCGUCUGAUUAGCUAGUUGGUGAGGUAACGGCUCACCAAGGCGACGAUCAGUAGCUGGUCUGAGAGGAUGACCAGCCACACUGGGACUGAGACACGGCCCAGACUCCUACGGGAGGCAGCAGUGGAGAAUCUUGCGCAAUGGGCGAAAGCCUGACGCAGCCAUGCCGCGUGAAUGAUGAAGGUCUUAGGAUUGUAAAAUUCUUUCACCGGGGACGAUAAUGACGGUACCCGGAGAAGAAGCCCCGGCUAACUUCGUG
rnacentral:rRNA from 1 species